rnacentral:rRNA from 1 species
CGGGGUGAGUAAUGCUUGGGAAUCUAGCUUAUGGAGGGGGAUAACUACGGGAAACUGUAGCUAAUACCGCGUAAUAUCGAAAGAUGAAAGUGUGGGACCUUCGGGCCACAUGCCAUAGGAUGAGCCCAAGUGGGAUUAGGUAGUUGGUGAGGUAAAGGCUCACCAAGCCGACGAUCUCUAGCUGGUCUGAGAGGAUGACCAGCCACACUGGGACUGAGACACGGCCCAG